GACGAACGCUGGCGGCGUGCUUAACACAUGCAAGUCGAACGGUGAAGCGCCUUCCUUUUUGGUGGGUGUGGAUGAGUGGCGAACGGGUGAGUAACACGUGAGUAACCUGCCCCCUUCUUCUGGAUAACCGCAUGAAAGUGUGGCUAAUACGGGAUAUUCUGGGUCUGUCGCAUGAUGGGUCUGGGAAAGAUAUUGUUUCGGUGGGGGAUGGGCUCGCGGCCUAUCAGCUUGUUGGUGGGGUGAUGGCCUACCAAGGCGGUGACGGGUAGCCGGCCUGAGAGGGGGGACGGUAACACGGGGACGGAGACCGGGACCAGACGCCUAGGGGAGGCAGCAGUGGGGAAUAUUGCACAAGGGGCGCAAGCCUGAUGCAGCGACGCCGCGUGAGGGAGGGAGGCCUUCGGGUUGUGAACCUCUUUCGCCAGUGAAGCAGGCCUGCCUCGUUUGUGGGUGGGUUGACGGGAGCUGGAUAAGAAGCGCCGGCUAACUACG
rnacentral:rRNA from 1 species